CGAUGAUGCCCAGCUUGCUGGGCGGAUUAGUGGCGAACGGGUGAGUAACACGUGAGUAACCUGCCCUUGACUUCGGGAUAACUCCGGGAAACCGGGGCUAAUACCGGAUAUGAGCCGCCUUCGCAUGGGGGUGGUUGGAAAGUUUUUCGGUCAGGGAUGGGCUCGCGGCCUAUCAGCUUGUUGGUGGGGUGAUGGCCUACCAAGGCGACGACGGGUAGCCGGCCUGAGAGGGCGACCGGCCACACUGGGACUGAGACACGGCCCAGACUCCUACGGGAGGCAGCAGUGGGGAAUAUUGCACAAUGGGCGAAAGCCUGAUGCAGCGACGCCGCGUGAGGGAUGAAGGCCUUCGGGUUGUAAACCUCUUUCAGCAGGGAAGAAGCGCAAGUGACGGUACCUGCAGAAGAAGCGCCGGCUAACUACGUGCCAGCAGCCGCGGUAAUACGUAGGGCGCAAGCGUUGUCCGGAAUUAUUGGGCGUAAAGAGCUCGUAGGCGGUUUGUCGCGUCUGGUGUGAAAACUCGAGGCUCAACCUCGAGCUUGCAUCGGGUACGGGCAGACUAGAGUGCGGUAGGGGAGACUGGAAUUCCUGGUGUAGCGGUGGAAUGCGCAGAUAUCAGGAGGAACACCGAUGGCGAAGGCAGGUCUCUGGGCCGCAACUGACGCUGAGGAGCGAAAGCAUGGGGAGCGAACAGGAUUAGAUACCCUGGUAGUCCAUGCCGUAAACGUUGGGCACUAGGUGUGGGGCUCAUUCCACGAGUUCCGUGCCGCAGCAAACGCAUUAAGUGCCCCGCCUGGGGAGUACGGCCGCAAGGCUAAAACUCAAAGGAAUUGACGGGGGCCCGCACAAGCGGCGGAGCAUGCGGAUUAAUUCGAUGCAACGCGAAGAACCUUACCAAGGCUUGACAUGCACGAA
rnacentral:rRNA from 1 species